ensembl:lncRNA
GGUUAACUCAGUUGUCCAAGGUCACAAGACUAUGAGUGAUGGAGUGUGAGACGAAUGAAGGCAGUGUGAAGCCCCGGUAGAUGCUGAGGCGCCAUCCACAGGGGAAUAAAAAAGGCCAGAAAUUGAGCUGUAAGGAAUAGCAGAGGAAUUGCGACUCCCCAAAUGCAUGCUGUACAACUCACAGAAACCAUCCUAAUGAAGUGAUAUCCCACUGAGGUUUUGACUCGCAUAUCCCUAAUGAAGCAUGAUGUUGAACAUCUCCUCGUAUGUUUAUGGGAUAUUUGUGUAUCUUCUUUAGAGAAAUGUCUAUCCAAGUCCUUUUAAAUCAGGUUGUUUGUUUCUUGUUGUUGAGUUGUAGCUUUUUA